UGCAACAGAGGAGCUGAGGAGAAGAGACCAAGUUCCGAAUCACCAGAAGAGUCUCCUGAAAGACAUGGAGCAGGACCAGCAGUGGCUGCAUGAGACUCUCCAAGAGGCAAAACCUGCCCUCCAACAGGCAGCAAAAAUCUGUUCGGCCUCACUUUGUGCCCAAAGGAACUGCUGCACCUCGUGGUCCUGAAAGUGAUGCUGAAGUAACUUUCUGUCAAAGAACAUCGAAACUCAUGAGCUGCAGAAACAACAGACAGCUCAAAGCACAGAAGAACAAGGAGGCAGAUAUAUAUCUAUAUCAAGACCACAUCUGAAGAGCUUAGAUCUAACAAGCAAGAGCAGCAGACUUUGGGUCUCUAUUAAAAGAGUGUGAAAAUUAAUAUUAUAAAGCCUCAUUUGUUAAAACAUGAGUGAAGGAAAAAUAACCCUUCUUGAAAAGUAAUCAAAGAAAAGAUUUGAUUUUUUUUUUUUGUGCGAGACUGAAUUUUUAUAUUUCUGUUGAUAAAACCCAAAGAUCCUUCACAGCAGCAACAGAUGCAGAAGUUACUUGCAGAAAUGAUACCUCUUCUUAAUCUGUUUGUAUACCCAAAUGAUCAGAUGUUCCAGGUAAUUGACCAAUCAAACCAUUCAGCAGUUAAUUUAAUUUGAAGUUUCUUUCAUAACACUUAACUUUCAACCAUGACACAUUUUCUUAGAAUCCUGGAAACUAAAAUAAUGAAGUUUCAUUGAAUUAGGUAAAUGCAAAUCUUCUUAAA